AACGAACGCUGGCGGCAGGCUUAACACAUGCAAGUCGAACGCCCCGCAAGGGGAGUGGCAGACGGGUGAGUAACGCGUGGGAAUCUACCCAUCCCUACGGAAUAACGCAUGGAAACGUGUGCUAAUACCGUAUACGCCCUACGGGGGAAAGAUUUAUCGGGGAUGGAUGAGCCCGCGUUGGAUUAGCUAGUUGGUGGGGUAAAGGCCUACCAAGGCGACGAUCCAUAGCCGGUCUGAGAGGAUGAUCAGCCACAUUGGGACUGAGACACGGCCCAAACUCCUACGGGAAGCAGCAGUGGGGAAUAUUGGACAAUGGGCGCAAGCCUGAUCCAGCCAUGCCGCGUGAGUGAUGAAGGCCUUAGGGUUGUAAAGCUCUUUCACCGGAGAAGAUAAUGACGGUAUCCGGAGAAGAAGCCCCGGCUAACUUCGUG
rnacentral:rRNA from 1 species